rnacentral:misc_RNA from 1 species
UAGCAAGAAUGCUAGAUCCCCUCACAAAAGGAGGCCACGAGAACUACAAAAGGAAAAUACCACCUGUGGUUAAAAAAGGGAUUAAUGAGUGAUGGCACCAAACCUGACACAUUAAAAAGGAAAACAAGUAAUGAUCACAUUCACAUGUAAUUCACAAAUAACAAGAAAAUAGGACGGCAUAAAUGAAAAAUGAAGUUUGAGUCUGUACUCUGUAAACUUAUAUAUACAGUAAUUAAUUGAACAUAUAAAGUUGUUAAUAUCAACUGCCAUGCUAUUGUGUGAGGUGGCAUCAAAGAUAAGGCAGUUGCCACAAAGCCAAGCUCAAGAUCAAAGCAUAUAAAUUACCAGAAUGACUACAUUCAAAAAUUACUACCAUCCACAUUAAAAGAUGUAAUCAGAAGGCCACAAUCUUUUGUUUUUUCCUUCUGCUUUCCCACUUCUUUUAUGAUUUUCAGUACUGCUGCUUAUGCUUUCCUCUUAUAACCAAUUGUUAUAACUUUUGAGUGACUCUAACAAGGAUUUAAGGAAUUUUAAUUUAAUGGAAGUUCUUGUUUUAACAUGGACAAGUUCUUCACAAACCCAAAUAUAUGCAAGGAUUCUAUUAUUUUAACAAGCAACAAUUAAUAAUGAAAAAUGUUUCUCUCCACCACCUGUUUGUUUAAGUACUUUUUCUCAAAUGAAGAAUGGACUAUUGGACCUGUUCAAGACUUCAAGUUUAUUAGACUGCUGUAAUCUUUCAACAGAAAUAAUGAAAGUGUCAACUUAUUUACCUAGCUAUUCUACACAAAAUCAUGGAGCACAUGUAAGGAGAUGGCUUAGUGAGAAUUCUACAAAUUUGAACAUGAUGAGACCAACAAGAAACCAAGAAGCUAAUAAACAAGAUUACACUCAGCAGAACCAGAAGAAGUAAUCGACCGACCAUUUCAUACCAAACCUACCUAAAAAAAGGACUCCUGUUAGGAACAGUGUAAGAGAAUAAUUUGAAUAUAAAUCAAUGAGAAAAUGCAGCCAUCAAAAAUUCUAAAUAUAUUCACUCUAACAUUUGAACAAUCAUACCUUAUCCAUUCCAGAUAUUAUGCUCUUUACUAA